UACGUAGGGUGCAAGCGUUGUCCGGAAUUAUUGGGCGUAAAGAGCUCGUAGGCGGUUUGUCGCGUCUGCUGUGAAAUCCCAGGGCUUAACCCUGGGCCUGCAGUGUGUACGGGCAAACUAGAGUGCGGUAGGGGAGAUCGGAAUUCCUGGUGUAGCGGUGAAAUGCGCAGAUAUCAGGAGGAACACCGGUGGCGAAGGCGGAUCUCUGGGCCAUUACUGACGCUGAGGAGCGAAAGCGUGGGGAGCGAACAGG
rnacentral:rRNA from 1 species